GGGCGAAAGCCUGACGCAGCAACGCCGCGUGGGGGAUGACGGCCUUCGGGUUGUAAACCUCUUUCGACAGGGACGAAGCUUUCGGGUGACGGUACCUGUAGAAGAAGUACCGGCUAACUACGUGCCAGCAGCCGCGGUAAUACGUAGGGUGCGAGCGUUGUCCGGAUUUAUUGGGCGUAAAGAGCUCGUAGGCGGUUUGUCACGUCGGCCGUGAAAACCUGCAGCUUAACUGUGGGCGUGCGGUCGAUACGGGCAGACUUGAGUUCGGCAGGGGAGACUGGAAUUCCUGGUGUAGCGGUGAAAUGCGCAGAUAUCAGGAGGAACACCGGUGGCGAAGGCGGGUCUCUGGGCCGAUACUGACGCUGAGGAGCGAAAGCAUGGGGAGCGAACAGGAUUAGAUACCCUGGUAGUCCAUGCCGUAAACGUUGGGCGCUAGGUGUGGGGAUGGGUUCCACCGUUUCCGUGCCGUAGCUAACGCAUUAAGCGCCCCGCCUGGGGAGUACGGCCGCAAGGCUAAAACU
rnacentral:rRNA from 1 species